rnacentral:rRNA from 1 species
UACGUAGGGUGCGAGCGUUAAUCGGAAUUACUGGGCGUAAAGCGUGCGCAGGUGGUCUCGCAAGUCGAGUGUGAAAUCCCCGGGCUUAACCUGGGAACUGCAUUUGUGACUGCAUCGCUGGAGUGCGGCAGAGGGGGAUGGAAUUCCGCGUGUAGCAGUGAAAUGCGUAGAUAUGCGGAGGAACACCGAUGGCGAAGGCAAUCCCCUGGGCCUGCACUGACGCUCAUGCACGAAAGCGUGGGGAGCAAACAGG